GAGUCCAAGCCAGGGAAAAGGCCUAGAUUGAGAGAGCAAAGUACAGCAGCAGCUAUAGUGUGGCUUUCUUGGGCUUAGGAGAGAAACAUCUUUAUGUUCAAGGUUUUACAAAGAAUUCUUCUGAAGACUUUGAGUCUACUUUCUGACCUGACACUUCAAUUCAGCUCAGCACACAUUAAUCGAGUGCCUCUUAUGAUCUAGGAAUCAUGCAAGGCACGAAGCACAGAAAGACAGUCAGGCCUAAACUAAACCUGUGUGCCAGAGGCUAAAUUCUGUGCAUGAUCAUUUCUGGAACAGAAAUGUUAGGUGAAUAAGUGCUGUACCAGCUGCUUUAUGGGUAGUCUCCUUGACUACUAGAAAUAGAAUAAAGAAAGCAAGGUGGAACAUCUGGCAACGUUAAGUGUCAAAAAUCCAUUUUCAAAGCCUUUUGUCAUGGGGGUUCAAGGGAGUAAAUAAAAGCGUUCUUCUAAGUCCUGGUAUGAUUCUAUAUGUUAAGCAGAAGUUGUGAUUUAUGAAGAAGAAGAAGACUUGAAUCGACUAGGUAAACUAAAC
rnacentral:lncRNA from 1 species